rnacentral:tRNA from 1 species
ACCGGGGUGGCGGAACUGGCAGACGCUAUCGCCUUAAAAGCGAGAGCCCGAAAGGGCGUGAGGGUUCGAGUCCCUCCCCCGGUA